rnacentral:rRNA from 1 species
CAGUAGCCGCGGUAAUACGUAGGUGGCAAGCGUUGUCCGGAAUUAUUGGGCGUAAAGGGCUCGCAGGCGGUUUCUUAAGUCUGAUGUGAAAGCCCCCGGCUCAACCGGGGAGGGUCAUUGGAAACUGGGAAACUUGAGUGCAGAAGAGGAGAGUGGAAUUCCACGUGAAGCGGUGAAAUGCGUAGAGAUGUGGAGGAACACCAGUGGCGAAGGCGACUCUCUGGUCUGUAGCUGACGCUGAGGAGCGAAAGCGUGGGGAGCGAGCAGGAUUAGAUACCCCUGUAGUCCCUGUCUCUUAUAC